AAUGUGGAAAGAGGAACAAUCUUCAAUUUCAUAACAUUGCGGCAAAAUGAAGCUUUUCUGAUUGAAUUGAGUGGAGCUGAUUAUUCCAGUUGUGCAGGAUGCUCAUCUGCUGUGGCAUAAACUAUCAUGUACUACAUUUCAUUUCACAUUAGGGUUGCUGAAAUAUUAGUGUGAAAGAGGCUGGUAAGCAGUCUGGGUCAACAGGUAGAAAUAUCGUUACCCUUUCUAGAUAACAUGGAGUUUAAUUGCUUGUUUGUUUUUCUUUUGGGCUGCAGUUUUAAUGCUGGUCAAUAUUUGGUUGGGUUUGUGAUUGUAUAACUAAAUAUUAACUGGCAAUACGAUUUUUAACACAUCUCCGAGUGUCAUGGAAGGGCUGUGUUUGUACCUGGAGGACCUGGAUUAGUACCAAAGACAACAGGAGGAUGCAGGAGAAGCUGGGAGAAAAGGGAGAAGAAGAGGCCGAAUCUACAGCGAGUCUUUAGGGAGUAGUUCUUAGGUGGCUUUGUUUGAUUGUGAUGUCUGUACUGAGGCAAGUCCCUGGCUUGAGUACUGAACUGGCACAUUGAUGGGACUUCCUGUGAAUUUCAGAUGAAAGUGGGUCACUGAAGUAUCUUACGUCAGGAGGAAUAAUAUACCAGGAGCAACAAACAGUCUGCUAGAGGAACUCAUCUGCAGGAGGAAAGAAAUUGAUGCAGAGUUUCAACUUGAAACAUCAACAAUAUAUCUCCUCCCUAUUCUGCCAAGAUGGCAUCCACUUUACUGGCAGCAAAUCCUGUGCUAAUCCAAUGUGUUGUCUUCAUUCCAAACAAACUGUCAUGGUAUAGGCUGAUUGGUGGUCAAUAAAGAAUAGUGAAGGACUAUAAAGAAUAGACUCAUGUCUCCUGGCUGACUCAUGGCAGUUUUCAACAAUUGAACUGUGGCCCAAUCAGUAAACAGGUUUCAUUAGCAAGGGCAAGUGGAGUGGCCAUUGUGUGAAAGGGCCAGUGAUAGAGAGGGAGGCUUUGGUUUUGGCUUUGGCUCAUCAAGCUUAGCCCAGUUCAGGCUUGAAUGAGGUCAAUCUUCUUCUUCUUCUUCUUCUUUAUUCUUUAUUCCUUGUCUGUUAGAACAGAGAUAGUGCAGUGAAAAUGGCUCCAGGAGCUGUGUUAUGUUUUUUUUGUGUGAGAUAUGGGAAUUCUGGGAGACCUUUAGCCUCCCAGACAACUACAUCUGCACCAGGUGCACCUAGCUGCAGCUCCUCGGAGAAUACAUUAAGGAACUGGAGCUAUAGCUUGAUGACCUUUGACUCAUACAGGUGACCAAGGAAGCUAUAGAUAGGAGCUACAGGGAAGUAGUCACCCCAAGAUUGCAGGAGGCAGGUAACUAGGUGACUGCCAGGCGAAGAAAUGGGCAGCCAGUGCAGACUACACCUGUGGCUAUUCCCCUCAAUAAUAAGUACACUGUUUUGGAUACCGUUGAAGGGGAUGACCUACCUGGAGGAGCCGCAGUGCCUGGGCCUCUGGCACUGAGUAUAACACUGUGGUUCAGAAGAGAAGAGAGGUGAAGAAGAAUGUAGUAGUAAUAGGAAAUUCCUUAGUUAGAGGAUUAGAGAAGAGAUUCUGAGGAUAUUUUGGAGACACCUGGAUGGUAUGUUGCAACCCACGUGCCAGGGUUAGGGACGUUUCACAUCAGGUCCAUUGCAUUCUAAUGGGGAAGGAUGAGCAGCCAGAAGUCUUGGUACAUAUUGGCACCAAUGCCAUGGAAAGGAAAGGUGAGGAAUUCCUGAAGUGAGCUUUUAGGGAGCUAGGUAGUAAGCUGAAAAGGAAGACAGCCAGAGUAGAAAUCUCUGGACUUCUACCUGUCCCAAAUGCCAGAAGGUAAGAAUAUGAGCAUUUAGCAGAUAAACGUGUGGCUGAGGAACUGGAGCAGGAGGCAGGGGUUCUGAUUUCUGGAUCAUUGGGAUUUCUCUGGAGAAGGUAUGAGACCUGUACAAAAGGGGUGGGACUAGUACUCUUGUGAGCAAGUUUGCUAGAACUGUUCAGGAGAGUUUAAACUAAUUUGACUGGGGGAUGGAAACCAGAGUGAUAGGGCUGAGGAUGGGGCAGUUGGCUUACAAACUGAAGCAAUGUGUACUGAGACUGUGAACAGGGACAGGCUGAUGACAGGGCAAAAUUGCUGUCAAUGGGUUGAGUUGCAGUGUAAAAGAGGGACAAAACCAAAGAGGGUGAUGAAUUCAGGACUGAAGGUGUUAUAUUUGAAUGCAUGCAGUAUAUGGAAUAAGGUAGGUGAACUUGUAGCACAGUUAGAGAUGAUCUUGUGGGCAUCACUAAAUUGUGGCUGAAAGAAGGUUAUAGCUGGGAGCUGAACAUCCAACGGGACAUAAAAAAUGCAUGUCAGAAUGGCAAAGUUACAAUAGUCAUGGGGGAUUUCAAUAUGUAAGUAGAUUGGGGAAAUCUGGUUAGUGCUGGUUUACAAGGGGGGUGGGAUUUGUAGUAUGCCUUUUAGAGCAGCUCGUGGUUGAGCCCACUAUGGGUUCAGCUGUUCUGUAAUUUGUGUUGUGCAAUGAAGUGGGAUUGAUUAGAGAGCUUAAGAUAAAGGAACCUUUAGGGUUCAGUGAUCAUAAUAUGAUGGCAUUCAUCAUGCAAUUUGAGAGGUUGAAGCUAAAAUCAGAUGUAUCAGCAUUGCAAUGGAGUAAAGGGAAAUACAGUGGAAUGAGAGAGGAGCUGGACAAAGUUGAUUGGGAGGGGUCACUAGAAGGGAUGAUGGCAGAGCAGCAAUGGCUGGAGUUUCUAGGAGAAAUUCAGAAGUAGCAGAUUAGACACAAUCCAAAAAAGACAGGAUGAUGCAACCAUGGGUGACAAUGGAAGUCAAAUCCAACAUAAAAGCCAUAUAAUACAGCAAAGAUUAGUGGCAACUUAGAAGAUAGGGAAGCUUUCAAAAACCAACAGAAGUCAACUAAAAAAGUCAUAAAGAAGGAAAUGAAGGAAUAUGAAGGUAAGCUUAAAAAUACUAAAGAGGAUACCAAAAAUUUCUUGAGAUAUAUAAAGAGUAAAAGAAAGGCGAGAGUAGAUAUAGGACUGCUGGAAAAUGAUGCUGGAGAGGUAGUAAUGGGGGGGGGGGGGUCAAGGAAAUAUUAGAGAAAAUGAGUAAGUAUUUUGCAUCGGUCUUCACUGUGAAAGACAAUAGCCAUAUGUUGGAAGGUCGAGGGUGUCGGGGGCUGAAGUGAGUAAAUUUGCCAUUACUAGGAAGAAGGCCCUUAAAUGACUGAAUUCGGUCCACAAAGCUGUGUUGAACAUGCCCUUACUAUAGAUAUUACGCAGGGAUACCCAUAGCCCUCUAUUUUUCUAAACUCCAUGUACCUAUCCAGGAGUCUCUUAAAGGACCCUAUCAUAUCUGCCUCCACACAACAUUGCUGGCAGCCCAUUCCAUGCACUCACUACUCUGUGUAAAACUUUACCCCUGACAUCUCCUCUGUACCUAUUUCCAAACACCUUAAAAUUGUGCCCUCUCCUGGUAGCUACAAAGCCCUGGGAAAAAGCCUCUGACUAUCCACAUAAUCAAUGCCUCUCAUCAUCUUAUACACCUCUUUCAGGUCACCUCUCAUUCUCUGCCACUCCAAGGAGAAAAGGCCGAGUUCACUCAACGUGUUCUCAUAAGGCAUGCCUCCCAAUCGAGGCAACAUCCUUGUAAAUCUCCUCUGCACCUUUUCUAUGGUUUCCACAGCCUUCCUGUAGCAAGGCAACCAGAACUGAGCACAGUGGAGUCUGACUAGGGUCCUGUAUAGCUGCAACAUUACCUCACAGCUCCUAAAUUCAAUCCCAUGAUUGAUGAAGGCCAAUGCAUUGUAUGCCUUUUUAACCACAGAGUCAACCUGUGUAGCUGCUUUGCGUGUCCUAUGGACUCAGACCCCAAGAUCCCUCUGAUUCUCCACAGUGCCAAGAGUCUUACCACUAAUACUAUAUUCUGCCAUCAUAUUAGACCUACCAAAAUUAACCACUUCACACUUAUCUGGGUUGAACUCCAUCUGCCACUUCUCGUCCCACUUUUGCAUCCUGUCAAUGUCCCGCUGUAACCUCUGACAGCCCUCCACACCCCCAACCUUUGUGUCAUCAGCAAAUUUACUAACCCAUCCCUCCACUUCCUCAUCCAGGUCAUCUGGAUCAGAUGGUUUACACCUAGGGUUUUGAAAGGGUUGGCUAAAGAGAUUGUGGAGCCACUACUGAUGAUCUUUCAAGAAUUCUGGCAUGGCUCCGGAGAAAUGAAAAAUUGCAGAUGUCAAUCCAUUGUUCAAGAAAGGAGAGAAACAGAAGAAAGGAAGUUAUAGGUCAUUUAGUCUGACCUCGGUGGUUGGGAAGAUGUUGGAGCUGAUUGUUAAGGAUGUGGUUUUGAAGAUGCAUCGUAAAAUAAGCCAAUGUCAGUAUGGUUUCUUUGAGAGAAAAUCUUGUCUGACUAAUCUUUUGGAAUUCUUUGUAGAAAUAACAAGCAAGAUCGACAAAAAGGAGAACUGAUGGACAUUGUGUACUUGGAUUUUCAGAAGGCCUUUGACAAGCACAGGUAUUGGCUGACAGAAUUUAUCCUCAAGAAGAUAAAUGGAGCCAGGAUAACCCCUAUUGACAUCAAUGGAUCUGGGGUUGAGAGGGUGAAUAGCUUCAAGUUCCUCGGCAUAAACAUCACUGAGGAUCUCAGCUGUAUGGUGAAAAAAACGCAACAGCACCUCUUUCACUUCAUAAGGUCGAAGAAGUUUGGUAUGGGCCCCCAAAUCCUGAGGACUUUUUACAAGGCAAACACGAGGAAAUCUGCAGAUGCUGGAAAUUCAAGCAACACACACAAAAUGCUGGUGGAACGCAGCAGGCCAGGCAGCAUCCAUAGGGAGAAGCGCUGUCAACGUUUCAGGCUGAGACCCUUCAUCAGGACUAACUGAAAGGAGAGAUAGUAAGAGAUUUGAAAGUAGGAGGGGGAGGGGAAAAUGCAAAAUGAUAGGAGAAGACCGGAGGGGGUGGGGUGAAGCUGAGAGUCAGAAAGGUGAUUGGCAAAAAGGGAUACAGAGCUAGAGAACGGAAAGGAUCAUGGGACGGGAGGCCUAGGGAGAAAGAAAGGGGGAGGGGAGCACCAGAGGGAGAUGGAGAACAGGCAGAGUGAUGGGCAGAGAGAAAAAAAAGCCUAAAUAUAUCAGGGAUGGGGUAAGAACGGGAGGAGGGGCAUUAACAGAAGUUAGAGAAGUCAAUGUUCAUGUCAUCAGGUUGGAGGCUACCCAGCAGGUCUAUAAUAUGUUGUUCCUCCAACCUGAGUGUGGCUUAGCUUUUUACAAGGGCACAAUUGAGAGUAUCCUGACUGGCCUCAUCACUGCCUGGUAUGGGAACUGUACUUCCAUCAAUCGCAGGGCUCUGCUGAGAGUGGUGCAGACAGCCCAGCGCAUCUGUAGAUGUGAACUUCCCACUGUUCAGGACAUUUACAGAGACAGGUGUGUGAAAAGGGUCCAGAGGAUCAUUGAGGACCCAAGUCAACCCAAUUGUUCCAGCUGCUACCAUCCGGGAAAUGGUACCGCAACAUAAAAGCCAGGACCAACAGACUCCAGGACAGCUUCUUCAACCAGGCCUUUAGUCUGAUUAAUUCAUGCUGAUACAAUUAUAUUUCUAUUCUAUAUUGACUGUCCAGUUGUACAAACUAUUUAUUACAAAUUACUAUAAAUUAGAUGUCGCACAUUUAGAUGGAGACGUAAUGUAAAGAUUUUUACUCCUCAUGUAUGUGAAGAAUGUAAGUAAUAAAGUUAAGUCAAUUCAAUUCAA